GUGCCAGCAGCCGCGGUAAAACGUAGGAGGCGAGCGUUAUCCGGAUUUACUGGGUGUAAAGCGCGUGCAGGCGGUUUGCUAAGUUGGGUGUGAAAGCUCCUGGCUCAACUGGGAGAGGUCGCUCAAGACUGGCAGACUCGAGAGCAGUAGGGGAAGGUGGAAUUCCGGGUGUAGUGGUGAAAUGCGUAGAUAUCCGGAGGAACACCAGUGGCGAAAGCGGCCUUCUGGGCUGCAUCUGACGCUCAGACGCGAAAGCUAGGGUAGCAAACGGGAUUAGAUACCCCCGUAGUCC
rnacentral:rRNA from 1 species